rnacentral:rRNA from 1 species
AGUGAACGCUGGCGGUAGGCCUAACACAUGCAAGUCGAACGGCAGCACAGUAAGAGCUUGCUCUUACGGGUGGCGAGUGGCGGACGGGUGAGGAAUACAUCGGAAUCUACUUUUUCGUGGGGGAUAACGUAGGGAAACUUACGCUAAUACCGCAUACGACCUACGGGUGAAAGCAGGGGAUCUUCGGACCUUGCGCGAUUGAAUGAGCCGAUGUCGGAUUAGCUAGUUGGCGGGGUAAAGGCCCACCAAGGCGACGAUCCGUAGCUGGUCUGAGAGGAUGAUCAGCCACACUGGAACUGAGGCACGGUCCAGAGUCCUACGGGAGGCAGCAGUGGGGAAUAUUGGACAAUGGGCGCAAGCCUGAUCCAACCAUACCGCGUGGGUGAAGAAGGCGUUCGGGUUGUAAAGACCUGUUGUUGGGAAAGAAAAGCAGCAGGUUAAUACCCCGCUGUUCUGACGGUACCCAAAGAAUAAGCACCGGCUAACUUCGUG